UACAGAGGGGCAAGCGUUGUUCGGAAUUACUGGGCGUAAAGGGUGCGUAGGCGGCCUUUCUAAGUCGAACGUGAAAUCCCCGGGCUCAACCCGGGAACUGCGUCCGAUACUGGAAGGCUUGAAUCCGGGAGAGGGAUGCGGAAUUCCAGGUGUAGCGGUGAAAUGCGUAGAUAUCUGGAGGAACACCGGUGGCGAAGGCGGCAUCCUGGACCGGCAUUGACGCUGAGGCGCGAAAGCCAGGGGAGCAAACGGG
rnacentral:rRNA from 1 species